AGUGAACGCUGGCGGUAGGCCUAACACAUGCAAGUCGAACGGCAGCACAGUAAGAGCUUGCUCUUACGGGUGGCGAGUGGCGGACGGGUGAGGAAUACAUCGGAAUCUACUUUUUCGUGGGGGAUAACGUAGGGAAACUUACGCUAAUACCGCAUACGACCUACGGGUUAAAGCAGGGGAUCUUCGGACCUUGCGCGAUUGAAUUAGCCGAUGUCGGAUUAGCUAGUUGGCGGGGUAAAGGCCCACCAAGGCGACGAUCCGUAGCUGGUCUGAGAGGAUGAUCGGCCACACUGGAACUGAGACACGGUCCAGACUCCUACGGGAGGCAGCAGUAGGGAAUAUUGGACAAUGGGCGCAAGCCUGAUCCAGCCAUACCGCGUGGGUGAAGAAGGCCUUCGGGUUGUAAAGCCCUUUUGUUGGGAAAGAAAAGCAGCAGGUUAAUACCCCGCUGUUCUGACGGUACCCAAAGAAUAAGCACCGGCUAACUUCGUG
rnacentral:rRNA from 1 species